UACGAAGGGGGGCUAGCGUUGCUCGGAAUUACUGGGCGUAAAGGGAGCGUAGGCGGAUAGUUAAGUCAGAGGUGAAAGCCCAGGGCUCAACCUUGGAAUUGCCUUUGAUACUGGCUAUCUUGAGUAUGGGGAGAGGUAAGCGGAACUCCGAGUGUAGAGGUGAAAUUCGUAGAUAUUCGGAAGAACACCAGUGGCGAAGGCGGCUUACUGGCCCAUUACUGACGCUGAGGCUCGAAAGCGUGGGGAGCAAACAGGG
rnacentral:rRNA from 1 species